GAUGAACGCUGGCGGCGUGCCUAAUACAUGCAAGUCGAGCGAACAGACGAGGAGCUUGCUCCUCUGACGUUAGCGGCAGACGGGUGAGUAACACGUGGAUAAUCUCCCUCUCAGACUGGGAAAACUUCGGGACACCGGAGCUAAUACCGGAUAAUAUAUUGAACCGCAUGGUUCAAUAGUGAAAGACGGUUUUGCUUUCACCUAUAGCCGAAUCCGCUCCGCAUUAGCUAGUUGGUAAGGUAACCGCCUACCAAGGCAGCGAUGCGUAGCCGACCUGAGAGAGUGAUAGGCGGCACUGGAGCUGGGACAGCGUCAAGAGUCCUACGAGAGGCAGCAGUAGGGAACGUUCGGCAAUGGGCGGAAGCCUGACGGAGCGACGCCGCGUCUGUUGUAACGGUCUUGGGAUCGUGAUGAUCUGUUAUGAGGUAUGAACAGAUGUGUAAGUAAAUAUGCACGUCUUGACGGUACCUAAUCAGAAAGCAACGGCUAACUACGUG
rnacentral:rRNA from 1 species